UCUGAAACUACAGGAAGAUAAAGAUGGCAAGUCGUUCAUCAUGGUGGAGUUCCAUUUUUAAGUCUGAAGUAUCAGGUAAGUAUUAAAGGGUCUAAAAGAGAAAUCUCUCUUUAGAGGUCUAUAAAUCUAAAGUGUUUUUUAUUGAUAGUAUAUUAAUAUAAAAUUUCUCUCUUUAGUCUAAAUAGAUUUUAAUGUUUUUAUUCUGUACAUAAACUCCAAUAGACAAUAUUACAGAAUAGUACUGAAAAUGACACUAUUUUAUAUUCUGCUGUUGUUUACUAAUGAUGUUUUUCCCUUCUCUUCUUUUGUUCUGCACAUUAUUAUAGGAGUAAGUAAAUAUAAUGACUAUGUUACACUUUUGGAUGGUAAUUUACUUUAAAUGAUAUUAGACACUAUUUAAUCCUUUAUGUUUCACUAUUUAAUUUAAACACCACCACCCCUCUCCUGUCAGCCAUUUUUUGGAUUUUCAGAAUAGCUGUUUUUUUUUUCUAAUCCUCCUGAAUUUUUUGUCUAAUAUCCCUAAAGUGUUUUAUUCAUCCAUUAUUAUUUCUUUUGCCUCUCAAAUGCAAAAUGAAACCUAGAUAAAUCAUUUUUUUGAAUGAUAAUAUUUUAAUAACAGUACAGCAAGCACAUUUGAAAACACAAUCCACAAAUCAAUAUAAUUGGUAAAAGUAAAAAAUAGAUAAAGAAAUAAACAAAAUCCAAGGUGGGGGUGAAGCAUAUCAAGGCAAUCAGGAUUUACACAAUAAUAAAUAUCAUCAAUAAUAAAUAUCAUCAUCACUGCAAUAAAAAUAAAUGUCCUUUUGUAGUGGAAAAGCAUGAACUAACCCAGAAUAAGAGUGCGACCUCUGCUGAUGGGAAGAGGAAACAUCCACUUAUUCACAGAGCUAUUACACUGAGGGCUUAUUUCUGUUUAUGUGAUGUCCUUUUUGAUCACAACUCCAGAUGAAUGUGAUUGAUGACAUAAGCCACUUAUUCUGAUUUUCUAGUUUUAGACAAACUUCAUUAUAUUAUAAUUAAAUUCUUAGAUGAAGAAAUGUUGUUACAGCCUGUAACAGCCUGUAACAACGACUUUAUUGAAUUGAGAUAAUGUUGGACAGUGUGAAAACCACAAGGUGUGUAAUUUGU